UUCGACCUCGUGACUGCCUCGGGCGGCGGCCACGCAAGCGCAGCGAGUGCGGUCGCCCGGAGCCGGAGCGAAGAUGGCGGCCUCCAGAGCGAGCCUCUGAGAGGCAGCUAGAGAAGGAGGCGGAGGGGGCGGAGAGCGCGGCGGCCGCGGCAGGCCCCCGGCGGCUGGGAGCAGGAAGUGAAGAGGGGGCUGAGCUAGGCUGGGCUGGGGAGCAAGGCGGGCGCCUCAGCCACCCUCUGGGUUCGGCGGCGGCGGCGGCAGCAGCAGGAGAAGGCUCCCGGCCGGGCGAGCGAGGAGCGCGGAGCGUGGAGAGCCUCUCGGUGCCCUGCCCAGGCAUGAUACACAGUCUCUUUUGGGUGCUUGUCAUUCUUUAACAGGUCUCAGUGCAAAAUGAAUAUUAUUAGGGAAAAUAAAGAUCUGGCCUGUUUCUAUACAACAAAACAUUCGUGGAGAGGGAAGUACAAACGAGUCUUUUCAAUUGGAACCCAUGCAAUCACUACAUAUAAUCCCAAUACCCUAGAAGUUACAAAUCAGUGGCCUUAUGGAGAUAUUUGUAGCAUUAGUCCUGUUGGAAAGGGACAGGGAACAGAAUUCAACCUCACAUUUCGAAAAGGAAGUGGGAAAAAGUCAGAAACUUUAAAGUUUUCUACAGAGCACAGAACAGAACUUCUUACAGAAGCACUGAGAUUUAGAACUGACUUUUCAGAAGGAAAAAUCACAGGAAGGAGGUAUAAUUGUUUUAAGCAUCAUUGGAGUGAUACAAGAAAACCUGUCAUUUUAGAAGUGACUCCUGGAGGUUUUGACCAAAUUAAUCCUGCAACCAACAGAGUCCUUUGUUCUUAUGACUACAGAAAUAUUGAAGGUUUUGCAGACCUCGCUGAUUAUCCUGGGGGGUUUUGUAUACUUUAUGGAGGAUUUAGUAGAUUGCAUCUGUUUGCAUCUGAGCAAAGGGAAGAAAUCAUCAAAAGUGCAAUAGACCAUGCUGGCAACUAUAUAGGCAUUUCCCUGCGGACCAGGAAAGACCCUUUAGGAUUUGAACAGUAUUUAAACCUUCGCUUUGGAAAAUACAGUGGUGAUGAAUCCAUAACAUCCUUAGCAGAGUUUGUUGUUCAGAAAAUAUCUCCUAGACAUUCGGAACCUGUAAAGAGAGUAUUAGCUCUUACAGAAACUUGUUUAGUGGAACGUGAUCCAGCAACCUAUAAUAUUGCAACUCUGAAGCCUUUAGGGGAGGUAUUUGCACUCGUCUGCGACUUUGAAAAUCCGCAACUUUUUACCAUUGAAUUUAUAAAGGGGCAAAUACGGAAAUAUUCUUCCACAGAGAGAGAUUCCUUAUUAGCUAGUUUGUUGGAUGGAGUAAGAGCCUCUGGUAAUCGAGAUGUUUGUGUAAAAAUGACAUCCACACAUAAGGGUCAGCGUUGGGGACUGCUCAGCAUGCCUGUGGAUGAGGAAGUAGAAAGCCUUCACCUCAGGUUCUUAGCUACACCUCCAAAUGGCAACUUUGCCGAUGCUGUAUUCAGGUUCAAUGCUAAUAUAUCGUACAGUGGAGUACUGCAUGCAGUAACACAGGAUGGCCUCUUCUCAGAAAACAAAGAGAAGCUGAUAAACAAUGCCAUCACAGCAUUACUGUCACAGGAGGGCGAUGUGGUUGCAUCUAAUGCUGAGCUUGAGAGUCAGUUCCAAGCUGUGAGGAGGCUUGUGGCUUCCAAGGCUGGCUUCCUGGCCUUUACCCAACUUCCCAAAUUUCGGGAGCGGCUUGGAGUAAAGGUGGUAAAAGCACUGAAGAGAAGCCAUGAUGGCGUGACCCAUGCCUCCAUUGACAUGCUGUGUGCCCUCAUGUGUCCUAUGCAUGAUGACUAUGACUUGAGGCAAGAGCAGUUGAACAAAGCUUCUCUUCUUUCUUCAAAGAAGUUUCUGGAAAACUUAUUAGAAAAAUUUAAUUCCCAUGUGGAUCAUGGGACUGGUGCCCUAGUUAUUAGUUCACUUUUGGACUUCCUUACCUUUGCCCUCUGUGCUCCAUAUAGUGAGACGACUGAAGGGCAGCAAUUUGAUAUGCUUUUAGAAAUGGUUGCAUCCAAUGGGAGGACUCUUUUUAAGCUUUUUCAGCACCCUUCCAUGGCGAUUGUUAAAGGAGCUGGCUUGGUUAUGAAGGCAAUAAUAGAGGAAGGUGAUAAAGAAAUUGCUACCAAAAUGCAGGAACUUGCACUCAGUGAAGGUGCCUUACCUCGACACUUGCAUACCGCAAUGUUUACAAUAAGUUCGGAUCAAAGGAUGCUUACAAAUAGACAGCUAAGUAGACAUUUAGUGGGCCUCUGGACAGCUGAAAAUGCAACUGCUACAAAUUUGUUGAAACGUAUUUUGCCCCCAGGUUUGCUGGCAUACCUGGACAGCACUGAUCCAGUUCCUGAGAAAGAUGCAGACCGGAUGCAUAUUAGAGAUAAUCUGAAAAUAGCAACUGAUCAGUAUGGAAAAUUUAAUAAAGUUCCAGAGUGGCAAAGACUGGCUGGAAAAGCUGCUAAAGAAGUUGAAAAAUUUGCCAAAGAAAAAGUAGAUCUUGUUUUGAUGCACUGGAGGGAUAGAAUGGGAAUUGCUCAAAAAGAGGACAGAAACAAUAUGAAUUUAAAUCAAAAGCCAGUAAUACUUAGAAAGAGAAGACAGAGAAUAAAAAUUGAAGCAAACUGGGAUCUUUUCUAUUAUAGGUUUCUUCAAGACCAUGCCAGGUCAAAUUUAAUUUGGAACUUUAAAACACGAGAAGAACUGAGAGACUGUCUUGAAUCUGAAAUGAGGGCAUUUAACAUAGACCGAGAACUUGGUAGUGCUAAUGUGAUCUCAUGGAACCAUCAUGAAUUUGAGGUCAAAUAUGAUUGCCUAGCAGAGGAGAUAAAAAUAGGAGACUAUUACCUGAGAUUACUGUUAGAGGAGGAUGAAAAUGAAGGAAGCGGAUCAAUCAGACGAUCGUAUGAGUUUUUCAAUGAGCUCUAUCAUCGUUUCCUGCUCACCCCGAAAGUGAACAUGAAGUGUUUAUGUUUGCAAGCACUGGCUAUUGUUUAUGGCAGAUGCCAUGAGGAAAUAGGACCGUUUGGGGACACCAGAUAUAUUGUUGGAAUGUUAGAGAGGUGCACUGAUAGACUUGAACGAGAUAGGCUGAUCCUUUUCCUUAACAAGCUGAUACUUAACAAGAAAAAUGUAAAGGAUCUCAUGGAUUCCAAUGGAAUCAGAAUCCUGGUGGAUUUGCUCACUCUUGCCCACUUGCACACAAAUAGGGCCACAGUACCACUACAGAGCAAUGUGCUCGAGGCUGCUCCUGAUAUGAAGAGAGAGAGUGAGAAGGAAUGGUACUUUGGCAAUGCAGACAAAGAAAGGAGUGGCCCCUAUGGAUUCCAUGAGAUGCAAGAAUUGUGGACCAAGGGACAGUUGACCCCAAAAACACGAUGUUGGGCUCAGGGAAUGGAUGGAUGGCGGCCACUACAAGUUAUUCCCCAACUUAAAUGGUGUGUGUUAGCCACUGGACAGGCUGUGCUGAAUGAAACUGAUCUUGCUACACUUAUACUCAACAUGUUAAUCACGAUGUGCGGAUAUUUUCCAAGCAGGGAUCAGGAUAAUGCCAUUAUAAGGCCUUUGCCCAGAGUGAAACGGUUAUUGUCAGACAGUACCUGCCUUCCCCAUAUAAUUCAGCUACUGAUGACUUUUGACCCUAUCCUUGUUGAGAAGGUGGCCAUUUUAUUAUACCACAUUAUGCAAGAUAAUCCACAGUUACCUCGUCUUUAUCUUAGUGGAGCAUUUUUCUUCAUCAUGAUGUAUACAGGAUCCAAUGUACUUCCUAUUGCAAGGUUUUUAAAGUACACACAUACCAAACAGGCCUUCAAAUCUGAAGAGACAAAAGGGCAAGAUAUUGUCCAAAGAAGCAUACUGGGGCAUAUCCUCCCUGAAGCCAUGGUAUGCUAUUUAGAAAAUUAUGAACCAGAAAAAUUUUCUGAGAUUUUUCUAGGAGAAUUUGAUACUCCAGAAGCUAUCUGGAGCAGUGAAAUGAGGCGCCUCAUGAUUGAGAAGAUUGCCACUCACCUUGCUGAUUUCACUCCACGCCUUCAGAGCAAUACGCGAGCACUUUAUCAGUAUUGUCCUAUUCCUAUCAUCAGCUAUCCACAGCUAGAAAAUGAACUUUUUUGUAAUAUUUAUUACCUCAAACAUCUUUGUGAUACACUCCGAUUUCCAGAUUGGCCAAUUAAAGACCCAGUGAAGCUUCUGAAAGAUACCCUUGAUGCAUGGAAGAAGGAAGUAGAAAAAAAACCUCCUAUAAUGUCAGUAGAUGAUGCUUAUGAAGUGCUUAACCUCCCUAAUGGACAAGGACAGCAUGAUGAGAGCAAGAUUAGAAAGGCCUACUUCAGACUGGCCCAGAAAUACCACCCUGACAAGAAUCCCGAAGGGAGGGACAUGUUUGAAAAAGUAAACAAAGCCUAUGAAUUCUUAUGUACAAAAUCAUCUAAAAUAAUUGAUGGCCCAGAUCCAGAAAAUAUCAUUUUGAUUCUGAAAGCACAGAGCAUCUUGUUUAAUCGGCAUAAAGAAGAUUUACAGCCUUACAAAUAUGCAGGGUAUCCCAUGUUGAUUAGGACUAUCACGAUGGAAACUUCAGAUGACCUCCUUUUUUCAAAAGAAUCACCACUGUUGCCUGCUGCCACAGAGCUGGCUUUCCACACUGUCAAUUGCUCUGCACUCAAUGCAGAAGAGCUGAGAAGAGAGAAUGGAAUUGAGGUGCUACAAGAGGCAUUCAGUCGUUGUGUAGCAGUCUUGAAUCGUUCUAGUAAGCCAACUGACAUGUCUGUUCAGGUGUGUGGGCACAUAAGUAAGUGCUACAGUGUGGCAGCUCAGUUUGAAGAGUGUCGAGAGAAGAUCACCGAGAUGCCCAGCGUCAUCAAGGAUCUCUGUCGGAUACUGUACUAUGGCAAGAGCAUACCAAAAGUGGCCUCUCUUGCAGUAGAAUGUGUCAGUUCAUUUGCAGUGGACUUCUGGCUACAGACUCACUUGUUUCAGGCAGGGAUUUUGUGGCAUUUACUUGGAUAUCUGUUUAACUAUGAUUACACUCUAGAAGAGAGUGGCAUUCAGAAAAAUGAAGAGACAAAUCAGCAGGAAGUAGCCAAUAGUCUUGCCAAAUUAAGCCUCCUAGCUCUCAGUCGCCUUGGUGGGUAUUUGCCUGAUGAACAAUCUACUCCAGAAAAUCCAACAAUAAGGAAAAGUCUGACUGGUUUACUAACACCAUAUGUUGCUAGAAAACUUGCUGUGAUUGGUCCUGCUGAGAUACUGAAGAUGCUUAAUAGCAACACAGAAAGUCCCUAUUUAAUUUGGAAUAAUUCAACAAGAGCAGAAUUACUUGAGUUUCUUGAAUCUCAGCAGGAAAGCAUGAUUAAAAAAGGUGAUUGUGACAAAACUUAUGGAUCAGAAUUUGUCUACAGUGAUCAUGCCAAAGAACUUAUUGUGGGAGAAAUUUUUGUCAGGGUAUACAAUGAAGUCCCCACUUUUCAACUAGAGCUUCCAAAAGCAUUUGCUGCAAGUCUUUUGGAUUACAUAGGUUCCCAAGCCCAGUACCUCCACACUUUCAUGGCCAUCACCCACACUGCAAAAGUGGAGUCGGAUCAGCAUGGAGAUCGGUUACCAAGAGUUGAAAUGGCUUUGGAGGCUCUGAGAAAUGUUAUAAAACACAACCCAGGUUCAGAGUGUGAAUGUGUUGGUCAUUUCAAAUUGCUAUUUUCUCUUCUCCGUGUCCAUGGAGCUGGCCAAGUACAGCAGUUGGCUUUAGAGGUUGUGAACAUAGUGACAUCUAAUCAAGAAUGUGUCAACAAUAUUGCAGAAUCAGUAGUGUUGUCCAACUUACUGGCCCUUCUGCAUUCAUUACCAUCAAGCCGCCAGCUUGUUCUUGAAACUCUCUAUGCAUUGACAUCAAGUACAAAAAUAAUCAAAGAGGCAAUGGCCAAAGGAGCUCUCAUUUAUUUGCUGGACAUGUUCUGCAAUUCAACCCACCCACAAGUCCGAGCCCAGACAGCUGAGCUUUUUGCCAAAAUGACAGCAGAUAAGCUGAUAGGGCCAAAGGUUAGAAUUACGUUAAUGAAAUUUCUACCAGGAGUAUUCAUGGAUGCCAUGAGAGACAGUCCUGAAGCUGCUGUUCACAUUUUUGAAGGAACUCAUGAAAAUCCAGAGUUAAUUUGGAAUGACAACUCCAGAGAUAAAGUAUCCACAACAGUUCGAGAAAUGAUGUUAGAGCACUUUAAAAAUCAGAGAGACAACCCUGAUACAAACUGGAAGUUGCCUGAAGACUUUGCUGUUGUGUAUGGUGCAGCAGACGGGGAGCUUGCUGUUGGAGGAGUCUUCCUGAGGAUCUUUAUUGCACAACCAGCCUGGGUUCUUAGAAAACCAAGGGAAUUUCUUAUUGCACUCUUAGAAAAGUUAACUGAAUUACUGGAAAAGAACAACCCUCAUGGAGAAACCCUGGAAACUCUAACAACAGCAGCAGUCUGUCUUUUCAGUGCACAGCCCCAGCUAGCAGAUCAAAUUCCACCACUGGGUCAUCUGCCUAAAGUGAUCCAAGCAAUGAAUCACAAGAACAAUGCCGUCCCUAAGAGUGCCAUUCGAGUCUUACAUUCGCUCUCUGAUAAUGAGUUGUGUGUUCGUGCAAUGGCAUCUCUGGACACCAUUGGUCCACUGAUAAAUGGAAUGAAAAGGCGAUCAGACACAGUUGGUCUAGCCUGUGAAGCAAUUAAUCGAAUGUUUCAGAAGGAGCAAAGUGAUUUAGUAGCCCAGGCCCUGAAAGCAGAUUUGGUUCAGUAUCUCUUAAAGUUGCUAGAGGGCACUGGCCUUGAAAAUUUGGAAAGCCCAGCAGCCACGAAGGCUCAAAUUGUUAAGGCCCUAAAAUCGAUGACCCGAAGCCUGCAGUAUGGAGAACAGGUAAAUGAAAUCCUGUCUCGUUCUUCCAUUUGGAGCGCCUUCAAAGAUCAGAAACAUGAUUUGUUCAUUUCUGAGACACAAACAGCUGGAUACCUCACAGGUGUCUCUCCUUCCCUUCUCACUGGCAGCAGUCCCCUUCAUCUCAGAAGUGGGCUUUAGAUCUGCUCUGCCAGGCAGCUUGCUAACCUCUGUGUAGCUCUCUGAAGCAGGACCUGGAGUUGCUGGCUACCUUACUGCAGGGGCAUCACCAACAGUACUAUCUAGUAUGCCACCUCCAGUAGACCAUGAAGUGGGCGAUAUUGGCUAAGAGACUCAAACUAUUCAUGAAUUACAAAAAAUGCAGAAAGGCCAGUGAUGAGAACCACAUUCCUCCAUCUGAUACAUUGAAGCAAACUCCUAACUGCCUUUCUGCUUCUUUCAUGACAGUGUUAUCCCUUUUUCUAUAAAUAUAUUUUUAUUUAGGAGAAAAGUCAGUGAUUCUAAUUGUAUCACGCUGUAACAUAAGAAAGCACUCUGUGGAUCAACCUAAAUGGGUACACAAGAAUAUUUUUUUUCUUGCUGUACAAAAGCACAUUUUGUUCCUUCGUAUCUGUUUACAAGACUGUGAAUCAAAAAGACAAACCUUUUUCCCAAGUUUUUAUAUAUAUUUUUUUUAAUUAGUAGCUGUGGUAUUGAACUGCAGUCUACAGGAAUUGGGCUAAAUCACUUGUUCCCAUAAAAGGGUCUUUCCUUCUGCACCAAGUCUGAUGUGAUAUUCUUCUCUUCAUCCAGCAUUAUUAGGUUCUGUCUCUGUACCAGUUCACUGAUGUCCUUGAUCAUUAACGUUAUGUUCCCAAGAGCUCACAGUAAACGUGUUUGUUGUGUACCUGGCUUUACCAAAUUAAUGAACAAGGAUGAGCUUAUGCAAAAAAAAAAAAGAAAAGACAAAACAAAAACCAGCCCUGACGUUGUCGACACGUUAUAUAAGAGCCUGGUGGGAUUGUGAAAUGUUCCCUCUGUUACCCCGCAUAGAAAGCUUUCUAUAUUGAAUGUACAUUAUACAGAUCAUUCAGAUGUGUACAUAAAAUUUUAAAAAUAAAGGGAAUUGAUGCCUUGUUGAUGAGA